GCUUCACAUCACAACGGAAACAAAAGCGAGUCAAAAUGGCGUCUUUGCUUGUGUCUCCUCCUCUUCCCUCCAUAUUAUGUUCCUCUCUCGUGUUGUCCUCAUGCUUACCAAUCGCCCACCGUGUCCGCCCCUGAUCCUUCCCGUGGUGCAACGAUCCUACGAGGCAUGGAAAUCUUGCUUGCUUCGCCCUCGCGGAGUUCGAUUUCUCUAAAUCGGGCGGCGGUGACAGCAACGGAGAUGGACAAGGAGAAGGCGACGAUGAGGAUCUACUCCCCCUCCUCCGCGACCUAGCUGAUAGCUUCGUUCUCCCUCCCGGUAACCUGUUGAAGCUCCCUUGCGAUCUAUGUAAGAUCGCCCAAUUUAGCUUCGUUCAUCAUAAUAAUGAUCUUCUUAGUGUAUGAGAUACCUCCCCCGCCGCUGCAGGCGGGUCUUCUGAAUUCCAACGACCUCCGUACCCUGCAUCAGCUCAAACCCGAUACUCACCCUAAUGAUUUGACCAAGAAGUUGUUGCAAGCCUCUUUCUCUGUUGAAGUGACACCGUCCGAGUUGAACCCCUAUAUUGCUCACUCUCCUGCAAAUAGCUCUCUCUCAAUAUGCUAAGUAAAUCAAUUCUAUUUCAAUUAUAUUUAUACACUACUAUCUAUAUUCUGUAGCUUUUA